GAUCGACCCUGGGUGGAAGUGACAAGACCUGUCAACAGGGAACGAAAGCGUAACGCACCGGGGAUACCCCACCCCGCACCACCCUCCUACUGGAAGGGGAGGCCACGCAAUUUUAAACCGCCGUUUGCCAAAAUGCGCUCAGAGGUCAGCCUGAACCGCUUCCCAGGGUGAAUGAUGAAAACGCCAACGGAAGAAAUCCGCAGCCCGCCCAGACCCCCACCCUGCAACUCAGCCCUCUCCCCACCAGAGCUGCACCGCCCACCGGUUUUCCGUCGGACUCCAAACUCUGCUUUACAGUAAGAGGCCAAGAGUAACCAGGAAGUAGUGUCCAAGUCAGACCAGUCACUGGGAAGGUGAGCAAAGCUGUCGCUUUGGAAGACCUUGGGGACAAGAAAGCUCCAGAGGACUGAGCUCCCUCGCCAAAACGAUCAAUACCAGAGAGGGAAAUGCUGAACUUGUUUUCCAAACCCUAAAUGAGAGCGGAUGUGACAAAGCCAGUACGAGUACUCCAAUGGGAAAACGAGCACAUGUCACGCCGGGACGCGGGGUCCUUCCCAGACGGGCCCUGAGCUCCUCCCGCUCUCUCUGUGCCCCGAGGUCUGGACCCUCAGGCCCGGAGGCGGCGACGGCCGCCACAGCCGGGACCUAAAGCUCCACCUCCGCCCUCAACCCCGUGGGACCUCCCAGGACCCGCCUCAGGCCCCAUCUGAGCAGACAAUCCUUCAAGCCUCGCUUUUCGUCCCCACCGACGCUGGAACUCACUCCAGCCAGCCCCGCCACUGGGGGCGGCCCGCCAAAGGCACAGCCCCCGGAUCCCCACGGCCAUUGCCUCCUCCUCUGCCGUAAGAAUCGCCUCGCGCCGGUCCUCUUCUGCACCCCCUCCCCGGAAACUCUAAGCACGCACCCUGCGUUCCGUACACCAGUUUAGUUCCGAUCCCCCACGCUCGGGCCGCGCGCCGCCGCUAGGGGGCGCGUUUGCGCCUCGCUGAAGAUCAGUGCCGGGAGGGCGGCGUCCAAAGCUGGGGUACGUUCCCGGGGCGCGUAGGGGGCCGUGUCCGCCAGCCCCGGGGGCUCCGCAGGGAAACAUCCUCCCUCUUUGGAGUCGCGCAGUUUGACUGGCUCCCUCACCCGCCUGCCUCCGCGAGUUCGAGCCCAGAGAGCUGGACGAAACCCUUGCUUCCCGCAAGAGUAUUUUUGGGGAGGAAAAACCGGGGAAAGACGACUUCCGUGGUCAGCCCGGCCGGUGACGCUGAUGACAGCUCAACUCUCGGUUUUGCAAGGAAGAGGAGAUUCGGGUUUGGGGAAACCUGAGAGACCUACCCAAGUCUUUGUCUUGCAAAGCUGUGCUUUUCAUCAGCUUGAAUAUGUUGUUCUGGUUCUCCUGAGAAGCAGAGGCCAAGACAGAGUUAAAUAUGCAAGGAUUUUCUUCCAUGAGAGAAGAGGGGAAGGCUGCCUCCACCUGAAGCAGAGGAGGAAGAGAGCCUGGAGGCAUUCCUGCCUGCCCCAGCAGGUUAGGGAAGCUGGUCAAGACCAUGAAAGGAGGGGGCCCAGUCCUUGAGCCCAAGUCCAGAACAAGAAGGAUCCCAGCGGCAGGCCUGCCAGAUUGAGUGUCCCCGGCUGAGAGUAGCAGGUGGGAGGCGUGCCCUGGGAGCACACAAGAUGGAUUUCAGAGUACAACAGCAGGGGCUCUCGGUUAUGAACCCCCACCCACGUAGCUGGAGGUCUGUGAAGCAUUUGAAAUAAGCUGUGUUAAAGAAAUCAAAUAAUUAAAGAAGCACUUGUUAUGCAUUUUACACUUACUAUGUAAUAAACACACACAUGCAUUUCUAUCAAUGAUCUCCUAUCAAGGUUCUACACCCUCCACUUCCACCUGGCCUGAAAGAUACAGACAAACACACAACUCCUAAAAGUGUAAGAACAGAGGAAAAAGCAGGUGCCAACCGAAGGCUUUUCUUUCUAUUAGUGUGCUACCAUGGGUCAAAAUGGUACCUUCACUUCAACAUCACUCCUUACUAACUCCUUAAUGUGCUAAGGUAGCAGUGGAGUGUGUGCAUGUGUGUAUGUUUCUGUGGGCUUCUGGAGAAAUGAA